rnacentral:sRNA from 1 species
GCUGGGCAUGGUGGUGCACACUUGUAAUCCUAGUGAUUCAGGAGACUGAGGCAGGGGGAUCACUAGUUCAAGGCCAGCCUCAGCAACUUGAUGAGGCCUUAAGCAACUUAGUGAGACCCUGUCUCAA